rnacentral:sRNA from 1 species
UCCUCCCUCCCUCCCUUUUCCUUUCCGUUUAGAAGACUCAUGGGAGCUUUAAUAGCUGAUGAAUCAUUUUAACAUUUGAAUCUUUUAAAGAGGGUUUGGAAGAGCUGGGACACAAGCUACAGGCCUACAGAAGGACAAAGAUGAAGAGUCAAAAAAAAGUGUUAAUACCUAGGGGAAUGAGAAUCAGUCAAACCCAAGGUGGCCAGGCUGUGUAGCCUUAACCCUUGAAGUGAGGGUAAUCAUUCGGAGAGGCAAGGAUGAGAACAUGAGGUCUGGAAGAGGGCACAAGUCUGGGGAAACCGGGAGAGUCUAGGCAUGUUUGUGUGGCAAUAAGGCAUUUGAGAAAGAAAGGAGGGAAAGGGGAAUGUUCAGGAAAAGACACUAAUGGGGAAGCUUUAGGUGCCAACUCCAAGCCUUCCCUGUAGCAAGGGAAAGCUGCUAAGGGCCUUUGGAAUGAGGAAGAGCUAAAGUUUCACAAUGAUUGGCCGGAUGUAGAUUGGGUCCAUGGCUGAGGGCCUGAUGGAAGUUUAUGACAAAGCGAUACAGAUGUGCCGGGCCCUGAUAGUGGAGAUGGAGAGAUUAUAGUGAUGUCGCUCUCGGGAGCCCAACGACACGGGGCCACCAAAGUCUUCUCUCUGCAGAGCUAUUGCGGGCUUGCCCGGAUGUUUUUGCACAGUUCGUGACUAACCGAGAAUAUCUGAAAUUAAAAUUCCGAGUCACACCCAGAACAGACCAUUGCCCCUGUGAAGAGAUAGCCCAGGUGUACUGAGAGACCGUCUUAAAGAUGCUCCUGGGCCACAAAUUGGCAACAGAAUUGGCCAUAUAUCUACUGGUUCCCAGAGAAGAAGCCAGUUCCAGGGUGGCCUCGGUUUCCUCCUCAUGGGAUUAAUGUCUCAGAGAGGAGCCCCCCUGAGACAUGAUUAGCUUCAAAGCUAGUCAUGCUUGCACUCCUAGUUUUUACAUUGUUUUGUUUUCUUCGCUACAGACCCUGAGAACCUGAACAACAAUCUUAUACCCUGAACCUAGAGACCAGGGAGACAGCAGUAGAGGUGUCAAGGGUAAGGGUAGACACUGCUCCCUCGGGGUAGCAAGAUCUCUGCUACGAAGCAAAGGAUAUAACUAAUGUCUUUGUAAGGGUCAAGACUUAAGCAAGAUUCCCUUCUAUCCGUGCUUUAAAUCAGAAGCCUGGUGGGAGAUGGGAGGAAAGAAACCAGCAGCGGCUCUGGGUACUUUGGGCUAAAAUGAGCAGUUUCAAUCAAAGCCCUAGGGAGACAGAUAGGUAGGCCUCUGUCAGGUCAAAGCUAGCCUGGUCUAUGCAGCUAGUUCAAGGCCAUUAGGAACUACUUAGUGAGAGCCCAUUCCCAAAUAAAAUGCAUUUCUCAUACCCCCAGAGGAAGAAGAAGAGAUUCUGCCCCUCACUGUCCAACUUGAGGAGAGAAAUCCUCUGUGUACACAUGUACAUGGCUCCCAGCUCUGCUCUGAGCCACAAUCAGCAGGGAUGAUGAGUGGGAGCAAGGAGAGAGGACCCUGCUGCUCUGAAACUACCUCUAACCCCCACAGGUCGUUCAACCCAGGUCAAAACUUAGAGCUGGACACAGCGAUUGCAUACCUGUAAUCCCAGCACCUGGUGGAAGCAUGACAUUCCCAGAGCGCAGGACCAACCCCAGUCAGCUACAUAGUGAAUUGCAGACCACCCUGGGAUACACAAUACCUCAACACUAUCCCAGAGUGACUGUGCUUUCCUAUGCAGGAUCUGGAACCUUCUACCUUCUGGCGUAGUUAGCUAGAGAGAAAAGUCAAAGUUUGAUAUUUAGAUAUCACUUGGCCUUGUACUGGCAAUGUGACCUUGGAAUAAUUAACUUCUCAAA